AACCUCCGCAAUGUGAGAAAUCGCGACGGGGGGAUCCCAAGUGCCAUUCUUAACGGGAUGGCUUUUCAUUAGUGUAAAGAGCUUUUGGAAUAAGAGCUGGGCAAGACCGGUGCCAGCCGCCGCGGUAACACCGGCAGCUCUAGUGGUAGCAAUUUUUAUUGGGCCUAAAGCGUCCGUAGCCGGUUUAAUAAGUCUCUGGUGAAAUCCUGUAGCUUAACUGUGGGAAUUGCUGGAGAUACUAUUAGACUUGAGACCGGGAGAGGUUAGAGGUACUCCCAGGGUAGAGGUGAAAUUCUGUAAUCCUGGGAGGACCGCCUGUUGCGAAGGCGUCUAACUGGAACGGUUCUGACGGUGAGGGACGAAAGUUAGGGGCGCGAACCGGAUUAGAUACCCGGGUAGUCCUAACUGUAAACGAUGCGGACUUGGUGUUGGGGUGGCUUUGAGCUGCUCCAGUGCCGAAGGGAAGCUGUUAAGUCCGCCGCCUGGGAGUACGGUCGCAAGACUGAAACGUUAAGAAGUU
rnacentral:rRNA from 1 species